UUGAACGCUGGCGGCAGGCCUAACACAUGCAAGUCGAAUGGUAACAGGAAACAGCUUGCUGUUUCGCUGACGAGUGGCGGACGGGUGAGUAAUGUCUGGGAAACUGCCUGAUGGAGGGGGAUAACUACUGGAAACGGUAGCUAAUACCGCAUAACGUCGCAAGACCCAAGAGGGGGACCUUCGGGCCUCUUGCCAUCAGAUGUGCCCAGAUGGGAUUAGCUAGUAGGUGGGGUAACGGCUCACCUAGGCGACGAUCCCUAGCUGGUCUGAGAGGAUGACCAGCCACACUGGAACUGAGACACGGUCCAGACUCCUACGGGAGGCAGCAGUGGGGAAUAUUGCACAAUGGGCGCAAGCCUGAUGCAGCCAUGCCGCGUGUAUGAAGAAGGCCUUCGGGUUGUAAAGUACUUUCAGCGGGGAGGAAGGGAGUAAAGUUAAUACCUUUGCUCAUUGACGUUACCCGCAGAAGAAGCACCGGCUAACUCCGUG
rnacentral:rRNA from 1 species